AGUGAACGCUGGCGGUAGGCCUAACACAUGCAAGUCGAACGGCAGCACAGUAAGAGCUUGCUCUUACGGGUGGCGAGUGGCGGACGGGUGAGGAAUACAUCGGAAUCUACUUUUUCGUGGGGGAUAACGUAGGGAAACUUACGCUAAUACCGCAUACGUCCUACGGGUGAAAGCAGGGGAUCUUCGGACCUUGCGCGACUGAAUGAGCCGAUGUCGGAUUAGCUAGUUGGCGGGGUAAAGGCCCACCAAGGCGACGAUCCGCAGCUGGUCUGAGAGGAUGGUCGGCACACCUGGACCUGGGACCCGGUCCAGCCUCCUACGGGAGGAAGCAGUGGGGAUUAUUGGACAUUGGGCGAAAGCCUGAUCCAGCCAUCCCGCGUAGAUGAAGAAGGCUUUCGGGUUGUAAAGCCCUUUUGUUGGGAAAGAAAAGCAGCAGGUUAAUACCCCGCUGUUCUGACGGUACCCAAAGGAUAAGCACCGGCUACCUUCGU
rnacentral:rRNA from 1 species